AUAAUUAGUUUUUUAUGUGUUUUUUAUGCAUAUACUGUUUCUUUAAAAUCAAAUGUAUAUGUUCACAUGUUUGUACACUGAAUAAAUAUUGGCCAUAUGCUUAUAUAUUAUAUAUAUAACAUUCCUUUUAUACCUAAUAACUAAAAAUUAGUUUACGCACUUAAAUGUGUUAUAUUUAUGCAUAGGAUGUGUGUAGGAGUAUUAAAUGCAUUUUAUGCAUAAUGUUAUUAGAAUAGCUUAGGUAGAAAAACAGAUAAAAUUUGAAUUGGUAGCAGUUAAAGGAGUUACGUAUGCAUAUAAACGUGUAUAUAUAUAUAUAUANNNNNNNNNNUAUAUAUAUAUAUAUACAAAUACAUUACGUUUACAUUUACUGCUAGUAUUAUAAAAAUGUAAUUAAAUGUGGUAAAUAUAUUACUUCCAUUUUUAGAUUCAAUUCGUUACAAAAACAAAUAGAAUUAUGCGAAAAUGAAAAUGAUUAUAAUAUUAUAAAAAAAAAAAUAGAAGAUUAUAUUGAUACUUUAAGUCAAACCAAUAAAUUGUUGUGUCAAAAUUCACCUGUUGAUAGAAAUUUAAAAGAAAAUAGAGAUAAAAUAAUAGAAGAUGGUUCAAUGCUUUUAAAAAUUUUUAGGCAAAUUAAAAAACUCAACUUUUCAGCUGUUUUGAGUGAAUUGAAUAAAUUUAAAGAAGAAAACAGUUUACUUAUGAAUUUGAAGCAAAAUGUUUAUCACAAAAAACAAAUAAUUAACAUUUUAAAUGAACAAAUAAAAGAGCAAAUUGAGAACACAGAAAAUAAAAAAAAAAUUAUUGAAGAUAAGAUAAAAGAAAUUGAAAAAAAAAAAAAAAUAUUUUUUAUAAAGUUUAUGAUUUAUUAUAUAUAUAAAGAAGAAUAUGUUCAUGCCAAUAUAACCAAUUAUGAACUGACUAGCAAUUACAAAUAUGAUUCAGUUAAAAAUGCAAAAGAAAAAAUGGAAGAAGAGCUAAAAAGUUAUAAUAGUAUUAAUGAUUAUAUUAAACUCUUUUUAAAUAAAAGAAACGACCGUUUGCAAAGUAUGUAUGACACAUUACUUGAUUAUUACGAAAAAGAAAAGUUCCAAAAGAAUCAAAAUUUAGGAGCAAUAAAAAAAAGCUAAAUAGUUUUGUUAAAGAAAUCGAAGAGAAAAGGAAAAUAAUAGUAGGGGCAACAAAUAUAUAUACUAUCUGUUUUGUCACAAUAAAAAAAGAAAAAUGAAUUUUGCA
rnacentral:lncRNA from 1 species